rnacentral:rRNA from 1 species
AGAGUUUGAUCAUGGCUCAGGACGAACGCUGGCGGCGUGCUUAACACAUGCAAGUCGAACGGAAAGGCCCUUCGGGGUACUCGAGUGGCGAACGGGUGAGUAACACGUGGGUGAUCUGCCCUGCACUCUGGGAUAAGCCUGGGAAACUGGGUCUAAUACCGGAUAGGACCGCAUGCUUCAUGGUGUGUGGUGCAAAGCUUUUGCGGUGUGGGAUGAGCCCGCGGCCUAUCAGCUUGUUGGUGGGGUAAUGGCCCACCAAGGCGACGACGGGUAGCCGGCCUGAGAGGGUGACCGGCCACACUGGGACUGAGAUACGGCCCAGACUCCUACGGGAGGCAGCAGUGGGGAAUAUUGCACAAUGGGCGCAAGCCUGAUGCAGCGACGCCGCGUGAGGGAUGACGGCCUUCGGGUUGUAAACCUCUUUCAGUAGGGACGAAGCGAAAGUGACGGUACCUACAGAAGAAGGACCGGCCAACUACGUGCCAGCAGCCGCGGUAAUACGUAGGGUCCGAGCGUUGUCCGGAAUUACUGGGCGUAAAGAGCUCGUAGGUGGUUUGUCGCGUUGUUCGUGAAAACUCACAGCUUAACUGUGGGCGUGCGGGCGAUACGGGCAGACUAGAGUACUGCAGGGGAGACUGGAAUUCCUGGUGUAGCGGUGGAAUGCGCAGAUAUCAGGAGGAACACCGGUGGCGAAGGCGGGUCUCUGGGCAGUAACUGACGCUGAGGAGCGAAAGCGUGGGUAGCGAACAGGAUUAGAUACCCCGGUAGUCCAA